ACAGCUUCCAAAGGGUCAGGUUUCUUCCUCCUCACCCUACCCGGACCUUAGGACCCCAAGGUACCUUAUCUCCCUGGGAGCGGACAGGGAUGCAACCAACGACGAUGGCGACCUGCCCUCCGACCUCAUCGACCCGGACUACAAGGAGCUGGUGGAGCUCUUCAAAGGGACCACGAUGGACUGAGCCAGCUCUGCCCGCCCGCCCCCGCGCCCAGGGCCGCCUCCCUGGAGAAGCCGCGCGUCGCCCAUGGGCCAGCACGUGCCCCACCCGUGGGCCAGGGGCGGCCGGACCCGUCCCUCCACGACCCCGCCACCCCUCCUAGGCCUGGCUUUGUCUCCAGGUGAAUUUUUUACUGUGACACUUUUUACUUUUUCAAUAAACGUGACUCCCAGGUGAGGGGGCCUGGGUCUACACACGUG
rnacentral:sRNA from 1 species